CACUUGAUGAUACAUGGAGUGCGCCUGCUUCAGUUCAUUUUCAGCAAGCAUGAGGUCCCGGUUCGAUUCCGGGUCGGGUGA